GGAAAGUGCAAAGGGACUUGUGGAAAAUGGUGGAGAUGAAAAAUCAUAGACGAGAAAAAGAACAGGGUUUUGGUUUUGUUUUUCAAAAUUAGGAGUUUAUUAUAGCCAUUAAAAACUGAGUUUCGAAGUCCUCUCUUCUCCUCCACAAUAAUCACAAUCCAAUCCGAUCAAAACGGGCAGAAAUUUUCUCGGCGAUCGAACAUGCCCUAUAGGAUAUGGCUUAUCCCUAUGCUUUCUAUACUUGUUCUACUAUUACUAUUAUUACUUUUCCUACUCAUGCGUCCAACAUCAACCACAAACACUAGCUUUAUUGGAAAGAACGUCAUUAAAGAGAUUCGGAGAAACCUAAUUGACGUGAAACCGCCUUCAAAUCAUGCUCAUGAUGGAUCGGGCCAUUAAUUUGGAAUGUCAUCGUACAAAUAAUCUUGAGAAAAAUAUUUUACUUGGACAAUCAAGACUCAACUCAAGGUCAUAUGAUUUGUGGAUGGAUAGUAGACAUGAUAAUUUGCCAUAUAUAUAUUUUUAUAUUUUUCUUCUCAUAGUAAUGUUUAAAUUCUUAUGUAUUUAUAAAAGUUUUAUUUGAUAUUAUUAAUAAAUUAUGUUAUAUAAAAUCGGUUAUAUU